rnacentral:rRNA from 1 species
AUGAUGACUUCCGUCGUCCUCAGCCUAUGGUCGAGCCACGGGAGGAGAGAUCAAGGGCAGCAACCUGUAGUUCAGGGACAUCCAGAUCAGUUGAAAAGGAAAAAAUGUUUAUUUUUUAUCUAUCGGUCAAACCAUCUUGCAAACACCUCAAACAUGGAGCCGUAUAGGAGUAAAAAGAAGAAACAUGAGGGCAUAUGCCCCUCCCCCACCCCCGGCGCACUUGACCACAUUAGCAUAGUGUCGUCAAGCCACCGACACGAACCCUGCACGCCGGUGCUCUCCAAGGAGCGCAGCUUCUCGAAGCGUCUGCACCACGACGUUGCCCGAGCAAGCUACGUCCAACAGGCCGCCGGUGGAUACGGGUUGCACCAGUCUGACGUGAGCAUGUUGCCCCUCCUGGGAGACGCGCUGGGCUCGAUAGAGUACGUCGUCACAAUUGGGAUUGGGUUGCCGGCAUUUGGCCAAACCAUCGGCAUCGACACCGGAAAACACGUCUCCUGGUACGCUGCAACACCCGUGUUCGCACACUGUUCGAGUCUACGGCAUCAAGCUCCACGUGCCCUUCUUUUGUACCUUUGUGGUGUCCCACGGCUUGGCCGGUACGCCUCUCACACCCUCGCGCUGACCGGCUCGAAAGCUAUGAAAGGCUUCCAAUUCAUCUAUAGCCACACAGAUGCCUUCAACCCCAGGCUCAAUGGCCUCGUCAAGAUCGGCAGUGGUGUGCAGUCGUUCGUGUCUCACAAGGCGGCGACAUAUGGGAGCCAGUUCUCCUACUGCCUCCCGUCGACCCCCUCUCCUUCGGGUUCCUCACCCUAG